GAUGAACGCUAGCGGCAGGCCUAACACAUGCAAGUCGAGGGGCAGCACAGGUAGCAAUACUGGGUGGCGACCGGCGGAUGGGUGCGUAACGCGUAUGCAACCUACCAUUGAUUGGGGCAUAGCCCGAAGAAAUUCGGAUUAAUACUCCAUAAUAUUCAUCAAAGGCAUCUUUUAUGAAUUAAAGCUUUUGCGAUCAAUGAUGGGCAUGCGUGACAUUGGUUAGUUGGUGAGGUAACGGCUCACCAAAACGAUGAUGUCUAGGGGUUCUGAGAGGAUUAUCCCCCACACUGGUACUGAGACACGGACCAGACUCCUACGGGAGGCAGCAGUGAGGAAUAUUGGUCAAUGGACGCAAGUCUGAACCAGCCAUGCCGCGUGCAGGAUGACGGCCCUAUGGGUUGUAAACUGCUUUUCCACGGGAAGAACCCUCCGACGUGUCGGAGACUGACGGUACCGUGGGAAUAAGCAUCGGCUAACUCCGUG
rnacentral:rRNA from 1 species